rnacentral:rRNA from 1 species
CAGUCGCCGCGGGAACACGGAGGGAGCUAGCGUUGUUCGGAAUUACUGGGCGUAAAGCGCACGUAGGCGGCUUUGUAAGUCAGAGGUGAAAGCCUGGAGCUCAGCUCCAGAACUGCCUUUGAGACUGCAUCGCUCGAAUCCGGGAGAGGUGAGUGGAAUUCCGAGUGUAGAGGUGAAAUUCGUAGAUAUUCGGAAGAACACCAGUGGCGAAGGCGGCUCACUGGACCGGUAUUGACGCUGAGGUGCGAAAGCGUGGGGAGCAAACAGGAUUAGAUACCCCCGUAGUCCCUGUCUCUUAUAC